GCUCUUCCCACCUAGUUGGAAGGACAAAGAACAAAUUAGGUUUCGGAGUCCGAAAUGGACGAGUUGAUUGAAGAUAUGGUGCCAACAAAGAGGUAGUUGCCUUUUACAAGCAACCACUUAGACAAUACAGAAAAGAGAAUGUAGUGAUGGUAUGCUGUUUUCAAGGUGCCUAUAUGAAGAACAAACUGGUAUUUAAUUUCGUAUUGUAGAUUUCUAUCGACACAAGGAAGAAAUAUUUCUGAUAAAAUGUACUUCAAAGUGAAGAAAAUUCAGAGCCGAUCAAAUGUCACUUUGUUAGCUCUCUACACUUUCAGUGAUAGGAAAACGCUAUUCUGACAUUGCAAAACAAGUGGCAGUAACAUUACAGUAUCACUCCCCAAAAGUGAUUAUACUGUAUCAGUGCCAAAAUCCUGCACUUUGCAGACUCUUAAUAUAUUAUAAAUUGGUGGUGCUCAGUUGAAUGUCAAUGGUUUUCUUUCUGAAGUAAUUGUGCAGCUUAGAAUGAGUGACAAAAUGGGAAGUCUGCAAUGACGUAACACUUAUUAUCAAUCUAA